ensembl:lncRNA
AUGUUUCUGCUGUUGUCAGUCAUCAGCGGCUUUCAUGAGGAACUGAUCCGACAACAGAGAACAUCCUUAUCUCACUCCAGCUGUCUCUGUCUGUCCACCUGUCUGUCUCCAUCUGCCUCUGUCUGUCUGUCUGUCUGUCCACCUGUCUGUCUUGAUCAGUCUCUGUCUGUCUCCAUCUGCCUCUGUCUGUCUGUCUGUCCACCUGUCUGUCUGUCUCUAUCUGUCUUGUCUGUCCACCUGUCUGUCUCGAUUCUGUCUCUGUCUGUCCACCUGUCUGUCUGUCUCUAUCUGUCUGUCUGUCCACCUGUCUGUCUGUCUGUCUGUCUCUGUCUGUCUGUCUGUCCACCUGUCUGUCUCGAUCAGUCUCUGUCUGUUUCCAUCUGCCUCUUUCUGUCUGUCUUUCUGUCUCCAUCUGCCUCUAUCUGUCUGUCUCCACCAGUCUCUGUCUGUCUGUCUCCAUCUGUCUGUCUGUCUGUCUGUCUCCAUCUGUUUUUCUGUCUCUAUCAGUCUCUAUCUGUCUGUCCACCUGUCCGUCUGUGUGUCUGUCUCUAUCUGUCUGUCUGUCUCAAUCUGUCUCCAUCUGCCUCUAUCUGUCUGGCUGUCCACCUGUCUGACUGUCUCCACCAGUCUCUAUCUGUCUGUCUGCCUGUCUGUCUCCAUCUGUCUGUUUGUCUUCACCAGUCUCUGUCUGUCUGUCUGUCUCCAUCUGUCUGUCUCUAUCUGUCUGUCUGUCUCAAUCUGUCUCCAUCUGCCUCUUUCUGUCUGUCUGCCUGUCUGUCUCCAUCUGUCUGUUUGUCUCCAUCAGUCUCUGUCUGUCUGUCUCCAUCAGUCUCUAUCUGUCUGUCUUUCUGUCUCUCUGUCCACAUGUCUGUCUGUCUCCAUUUGUCUAUAUCUGUUCUGCCUCUAUCUGUCUGUCUGUCUCCAUCUGUCUCUGUCCACCUGUCUGUCUGUUUCUAUCUGUCUGUCCACCUGUUUUUCUGUCUCCAUCAGUCUCUCUCUGUCCGUCUGUCCACCUGUCUGUCUGUCUGUCUGUCUGUGGUGUGUCAUAGGUCAGUUGUGUUGGUUAGUUGCAGUGUUAGGAUUGGUUUUAACUAA